UCAAGUGAAGAAGCGCAUACGGUGGAUGCCUUGGCAGUCAGAGGCGAUGAAAGACGUGGUAGCCUGCGAAAAGCUUCGGGGAGUCGGCAAACAGACUUUGAUCCGGAGAUGUCUGAAUGGGGGAACCCAGCCAUCAUAAGAUGGUUAUCUUACGCUGAAUACAUAGGCGUAAGAGGCGAACCAGGGGAACUGAAACAUCUAAGUACCCUGAGGAAAAGAAAUCAACCGAGAUUCCCUUAGUAGUGGCGAGCGAACGGGGACUAGCCCUUAAGUGGCUUUGAGAUUAGCGGAACGCUCUGGAAAGUGCGGCCAUAGUGGGUGAUAGCCCUGUACGCGAAAAUCUCUUAGUCAUGAAAUCGAGUAGGACGGAGCACGAGAAACUUUGUCUGAAUAUGGGGGGACCAUCCUCCAAGGCUAAAUACUACUGACUGACCGAUAGUGAACUAGUACCGUGAGGGAAAGGCGAAAAGAACCCCGGAGAGGGGAGUGAAAUAGAUCCUGAAACCGUAUGCGUACAAGCAGUGGGAGCCUACUUUGUUAGGUGACUGCGUACCUUUUGUAUAAUGGGUCAGCGACUUAUUUUCAGUGGCGAGCUUAACCGAAUAGGGGAGGCGUAGCGAAAGCGAGUCUUAAUAGGGCGUCUAGUCGCUGGGAAUAGACCCGAAACCGGGCGAUCUAUCCAUGGGCAGGUUGAAGGUUGGGUAACACUAACUGGAGGACCGAACCGACUACCGUUGAAAAGUUAGCGGAUGACCUGUGGAUCGGAGUGAAAGGCUAAUCAAGCUCGGAGAUAGCUGGUUCUCCUCGAAAGCUAUUUAGGUAGCGCCUCAUGUAUCACUGUAGGGGGUAGAGCACUGUUUCGGCUAGGGGGUCAUCCCGACUUACCAAACCGAUGCAAACUCCGAAUACCUACAAGUGCCGAGCAUGGGAGACACACGGCGGGUGCUAACGUCCGUCGUGAAAAGGGAAACAACCCAGACCGUCAGCUAAGGUCCCAAAGUUAUGGUUAAGUGGGAAACGAUGUGGGAAGGCUUAGACAGCUAGGAGGUUGGCUUAGAAGCAGCCACCCUUUAAAGAAAGCGUAAUAGCUCACUAGUCGAGUCGGCCUGCGCGGAAGAUGUAACGGGGCUCAAACCAUACACCGAAGCUACGGGUAUCACGUAAGUGAUGCGGUAGAGGAGCGUUCUGUAAGCCUGUGAAGGUGAGUUGAGAAGCUUGCUGGAGGUAUCAGAAGUGCGAAUGCUGACAUGAGUAACGACAAUGGGUGUGAAAAACACCCACGCCGAAAGACCAAGGUUUCCUGCGCAACGUUAAUCGACGCAGGGUUAGUCGGUCCCUAAGGCGAGGCUGAAAAGCGUAGUCGAUGGAAAACAGGUUAAUAUUCCUGUACUUCUGGUUAUUGCGAUGGAGGGACGGAGAAGGCUAGGCCAGCUUGGCGUUGGUUGUCCAAGUUUAAGGUGGUAGGCUGAGAUCUUAGGUAAAUCCGGGAUCUUAAGGCCGAGAGCUGAUGACGAGUGUUCUUUUAGAACACGAAGUGGUUGAUGCCAUGCUUCCAAGAAAAGCUUCUAAGCUUCAGGUAACCAGGAACCGUACCCCAAACCGACACAGGUGGUUGGGUAGAGAAUACCAAGGCGCUUGAGAGAACUCGGGUGAAGGAACUAGGCAAAAUGGCACCGUAACUUCGGGAGAAGGUGCGCCGGUGAGGGUGAAGGACUUGCUCCGUAAGCUCAUGCCGGUCGAAGAUACCAGGCCGCUGCGACUGUUUAUUAAAAACACAGCACUCUGCAAACACGAAAGUGGACGUAUAGGGUGUGACGCCUGCCCGGUGCCGGAAGGUUAAUUGAUGGGGUUAGCUAACGCGAAGCUCUUGAUCGAAGCCCCGGUAAACGGCGGCCGUAACUAUAACGGUCCUAAGGUAGCGAAAUUCCUUGUCGGGUAAGUUCCGACCUGCACGAAUGGCGUAACGAUGGCGGCGCUGUCUCCACCCGAGACUCAGUGAAAUUGAAAUCGCUGUGAAGAUGCAGUGUAUCCGCGGCUAGACGGAAAGACCCCGUGAACCUUUACUAUAGCUUUGCACUGGACUUUGAAUUUGCUUGUGUAGGAUAGGUGGGAGGCUUUGAAGCGUGGACGCCAGUCUGCGUGGAGCCAACCUUGAAAUACCACCCUGGCAACUUUGAGGUUCUAACUCAGGUCCGUUAUCCGGAUCGAGGACAGUGUAUGGUGGGUAGUUUGACUGGGGCGGUCUCCUCCUAAAGAGUAACGGAGGAGUACGAAGGUGCGCUCAGACCGGUCGGAAAUCGGUCGUAGAGUAUAAAGGCAAAAGCGCGCUUGACUGCGAGACAGACACGUCGAGCAGGUACGAAAGUAGGUCUUAGUGAUCCGGUGGUUCUGUAUGGAAGGGCCAUCGCUCAACGGAUAAAAGGUACUCCGGGGAUAACAGGCUGAUACCGCCCAAGAGUUCAUAUCGACGGCGGUGUUUGGCACCUCGAUGUCGGCUCAUCACAUCCUGGGGCUGAAGCCGGUCCCAAGGGUAUGGCUGUUCGCCAUUUAAAGUGGUACGCGAGCUGGGUUUAGAACGUCGUGAGACAGUUCGGUCCCUAUCUGCCGUGGACGUUUGAGAUUUGAGAGGGGCUGCUCCUAGUACGAGAGGACCGGAGUGGACGAACCUCUGGUGUUCCGGUUGUCACGCCAGUGGCAUUGCCGGGUAGCUAUGUUCGGAAUAGAUAACCGCUGAAAGCAUCUAAGCGGGAAACUAGCCUCAAGAUGAGAUCUCACUGGAACCUUGAGUUCCCUGAAGGGCCGUCGAAGACUACGACGUUGAUAGGUUGGGUGUGUAAGCGCUGUGAGGCGUUGAGCUAACCAAUACUAAUUGCCCGUGAGGCUUGACCAU
rnacentral:rRNA from 1 species